CCGCAACGAGCGCAACCCCUAUUGUUAGUUGCCAGCAUUUUGGAUGGGCACUCUAGCGAGACUGCCGAGGUUAACUCGGAGGAAGGUGGGGAUGACGUCAAAUCAUCAUGCCCUUUAUGGUCUGGGCUACAAACGUGAUACAAUGGCUGGAACAAAGAGUAAAGCAAGAGCGUGAGCUGGAGCGAAUCUCAAAAAUACAGUCUCAGUUCGGAUUGAAGUCUGCAACUCGACUUCAUGAAGCCGGAAUCGCUAGUAAUCGCGAAUCAGAAUGUCGCGGUGAAUACGUUCUCGGGGUUUGUACACACCGCCCGUCAAACCAUGAAAGUUAGCAAUACCCGAAGCCGGUGGCCUAACUAGGCAACUAGAGGGAGCCGUCUAAGGUAGGGUUAAUGAUUGGGGUUAAGUCGUAACAAGGUAUCCCUACGAGAACGUGGGGAUGGAUCACCUCCUCU
rnacentral:rRNA from 1 species